CGCUGGCUGUGCGGGGAUUGGACGGUUCUUCCCGAGUGCUCUCCACUGCACAGGGCUGCAGACCCGCCCCGCAGGCUGAGCCCAGAGAGCCUUCUUUCUGAGUGACAGUAGACGACAUCCAACCCAGGAAUCAGUGAGGCCAGGAUGACAGAUUCCUGGUGACAGCUUUUAUUUUUCCUCCUGAGGUCUGCGAAUUGGACAAGAGGGCCUCAGACUACAGACAAUGGGGAAAUCAUUGGCAUCUACUCCUGAGGAGAUCAUAAGUGUAAGAAGAAACCCAUGCAAUUCACGUUUUUCUAUCCGGCAGAGAAAACUUCAAAACAUGGAGAGAUGAGAAAACUGAGACCCUGGGAAUUAAGGAGAACAGCAGCCGAUUUGGAUUCCAGAGAGACUAACCAAAGCGAUUUCUAUAGACCAAAAAGAAGAUGAUUUGACUCAAAUCCAUAACAGCUGAUAUCCAGAGCUCCAGCUUGGCUAUUCUUACAUCUGCGACAGUGAUUAACCAGGAUUUUUUUAAAUAUCUAUUUUAUUAUUGCCUUUUCCCACAUCAUAAAGUUCUAUUUUAUUUCUUGAGCUCAUACAGACCUAGGUUAAUGUUUUUCUGAUCAGUUUUAUUUUUUGACUGUGGAGUUUUUAAACAUUGCAACGGAGAUUUCACCUGUGUAAAGCUACAAGGCCUUUACUAUGGUCUUAUGUGUUGUAUGUUUGUGUGCACACUUGUGUUUUGUGUUGUAUGUCUGUAUGUGCGUAUGUCCAUAUAUCAUAUAUGAGGAAUACUCAUGAAAAAUUGGAUCCAAAUUUUUUUAUUCACAUGAUUUAAAUGGUUUAAUUUAAAUUGGGUAAACAGCUAUUGAGGAUUGUUUUAAUAUGUGAACAAAUAAGGAGGUUUACAGAUCUGUUUGUUUACUUUCACCUUUCCUUUUCAUUAUAUUUAAUAAUUCUGUUCAGGAUAAUGUAAAUUUUUCAGAAAAUUGUUUUCUUAGUGCCUGUUAGAAUGUUACAUAAUUUUUUUUUAGCCAUCAUUCCCAGAAUUCCUAUCUUCAUCCUAGUGCCGGUGAAGACAAAGAUAAAACCAAACUACAACCUCUUUGAUAGCUAUCACAGUAAACUGUAUAAACUGAUGCAUCAAUGAAUAAUAACUCAACAAGUAAUGUUCAAUCAAGGAGUCGAUUUACUUUGGGAGGAAAUGGGCAUAUUGAUAGAUUCCUCUGCUUUGAACUGCUUGCAGAAAUUGCCUGGACUGUGUAUCACUUGUAUGCAUUGUGAACUAUCUGUUGGUGCAGCGAACUGUGGUACUGCUGGAGUAUCUUUGCUGAUGGUGUCACCAGUGGUACAAUUUUUCAAAGGAGCCAUCAAUUGGCUUAGUGUCGUGGCAUUUCUGUAUCCUCCUCCCUUCUGCUAGUGAUGGUCUGAAACUUGGGGGCCAACAGAGGUGAGGCAAAGAACCUCACCCCCCCACUGGCACCAAGGCCAAAUUUGGGGGCCAACAGAGGUGAGGCAAAGAACCUCACCCCCCCACACUGGCGCAAAGGCCUAUCCACAAGUAUGGCUGUAUGCUGGACCACUAGUCAGUGACGGAUAUGAUCCAAUUGCAGUGGUACCAACCUAAGACAGGAGGCUGACACCUAGAGGUCAGCUCAUCCGAUGACGGGUAAGGACCAUAUGUUGUAUUGGACAACCUAACAGGCAUGGUCCCUAAGCCACAAUGCUUGUUGUUUAAUUAAACAGAAGGGGGGAGAUGCUGAAAGCCACAGCUGAGUUGGAAUGGCCCCUGGCAUUUUGCCAAUAGUAUUGAUUGACAGGCGAGGCAUUAGUAUCUGCCUCAGCUGCUAGUUUGCAAUUCUCACGCUACUUUGGAGUUCUCGUGGGGAUUCCCGGGAAUUCCCGGAGAGUUCCCAUUAGUUGGGGAAGUGCAGGAGGAGGAAUUUCCGGAGGAUAUUUCUGGCUGCUGGUUCCUGCAGGAGCCAUGUGGCAUUCGGGAGGAGUUCCCGGGGAGCAUGUGUGGAGCGUGCUGUCGGAGUUCAGAAAUAAAAGUUUGUUCCUGCUUCAGUGGCUCGUGAUUUGUGCCCAGCCAGACUGCAGCACUAAGUGAACUCUACCACUGAGCCUCUCCCCAGCCCACAAAGUGCUGACUACAUUAUGCACAGUGCUAAACACUGACCUAAAAGCAAGCACCAGUGGUUGUGUGGGGACAGUUUGUACCACUGUAAGCCUGGAAAACAGAAGUCAGGAACUAGCUGCAUCUGGUGACCUUUCUGAGGUUUGGUGGGUUCUGGGGUCAAAUGCACAUUCUCUGCACCCAGCUCUGGCUGAGGUCUUAACAGACCAGAUGCUUCUGAUGGUGCCCAGAAGUCACUUCCUGACUUCAGCAGUGUGCCUCCUAGGGAGACAGAUUUCUCUAGAUCAUGACUACCUGCUUCCACCACACCCUCUUGUGGUACCAGGGAUUAACCCAGAGGCACUUAAUAACUACAUCCUCAUGCUUUUUUAAAAAAUAAAAUUUUUUUUGAGACUAGGUCUCAUUAAGUUCCUGAGCUUGUCUUUGAACUGUGAUCCUCCUGCCCCAGCCUCCCGAGUCUCUGGGAUUACAGGUGUGCCCCUUGGCUCCUAUAAAGAAACCAGUCCUUCCUUCAAUUCAACUUUUUCUCCUACUACAAACAGCGGCAGGAACCACAGGCACCCCUUCCCUUUACCUGUCACUCCCCAUUCACCCUCCUGCCUGUAGGCCCUGGCAGCCACUCCCCUGCUCCGUCUCUACAGAUCUGCCUGCUGGGAACUCUUCCUGUAAAUGGCAUCUCAACACCAACAGUCUUUCAUGGACUUUUUUCCCUUUGCAUAAUGUCUAUGCCGUUCCUCCAGUAGCAGCAUGGAGCAGUACAUGAUGUCCUUGCCCAGUACUACUCCAUUGCAAGGACCUGCCACAUCUCACCUGCCCACUCUUCAGCUGAUGGGAACCUGACUUCGUUUCUCUUUAUUGAUUCCAUGACUACUGAGAGCCUGAGGCUGGCCUAUAAUGGACUUCCAUUUGGCCAUUGUCUGUUUCUGAGUGUUUGUGCUUAUCAUGGGGGUGGUUUAACUAUGACCUCAUGAUGUCCCUCCCAUUUAACCUUUUUCCCCAAUCUGUGGUGUGAACUUCAUCUAAAAUUCAUGUUUUGAAAUUUAGUGCCCCAAGGUGGUAUUAAAAGUGGGACUUCUGGGAUGUGGAGCCUCAUGAAUGGAUCAGCACCCUAAUCCAUAAGGGAAUUAAGAAAGCAGUGUAGGCCCCUUCCCUGUGCCCUGCCACCCCUCUGCCACGGGAGGACAGUGUUCACAUCACCAUGGAGAACACAGCAACAGGCACCCUCUCAGAGGGAGAGACCAAUGCUCAACAGAUACCAGCUCUGCCAACACCUUGAACUUGGACACUCCAACCUCCAGAACUGUGAGAAAACUAACUUCUGUUGUUAUAAAUUACCUAGUCUCAGGUAUUUUCAUAUAGCUACACAAAAGAACCCAGACAUCUAUUAACCCAGUACAUUCAACUUACAUGUCAGAGGCCAGAGAUGAUGCACAGCUGUAAUGCUAGUGGCUGGGGGAGGCUGAGGCAAGAGAAUUACAAGUUCAAGACUACCCUCAGCAACGUAUCAGGGACCUAAGAAACUCAGUGAAACUCUGUCUAAAAGCAAAAAAUAAGAACUGAGAAUGUGACUCAGUAGUAAUGUGCCCCUGGGUUCAAUCCAUAGCACCAAAAAAAAAAAAAGAAAAAUGUAAAAAACAUUUCCCAGUGAGAAUGCCUCCCUGGUGCCACAAGUUUCCCACCCAUAACCCUCUGAAGGCCCACUGGCCCUUGUUCUGCCCUUCCCCCUGCCUUGGCCAGGCUCUUUCAAGUGACUUUGUGUGGGCAUCUGUGCACACUGUCCCCUUCUGCUGGGCGCUCUGAGAGCAACAAGCACUUUUACUGUGUGUUCUUCUCCAAGUGUGAUUUUUUAAAUUGUAUUAACAUUAUAUUUCAUGUUAUAAUGUUAGCAAUAAACCACAUUCUAGGUAGAACAGUCUCUGCAUUUUAGGAGCUUAUGAGGAUAUGAGAUGGUUAAAUGAAACAAAUAUCACAAGGGACUAGCCAAGAAACCGAGGUGGUCUUAAUCAUGUAUUCUUGAUAUGAUCUUAUAUAAAUGUUAAAAGUGAUAUUCACAUUAUUCAGAAAUUUUAAAUUUGUUCUUAAUCAAAGUAACAUAUGCAUAUAGUUUUUAAACUCCGAUGAUGGCUAAAAGUGCAUUAAAAAAAUCAUUGAUCUGCUUCCCUUCUUUCCUGUUUCCUCCCCUCCUCGACUCCCCAGAGGCAGCCAUGAGAGUUGUUUUAGUUUUUAAUUUACCUGCAUUUCUGUGUUUUCAAACGCCCACAUUCUGCCCCCUCCUCAGAGCUGGUCUUAUUGCUGUUCAUUCUUUAGUCACUGCCGCCCCAAUGGCAGGAGAGGGUCUGGCAAUCUUCCUGCCGCCCCCUCCGGCGUGGGUUGACCCGGGGGCCUCACCUCUGAGCUGCUCCCCAGCCCUGUGUUUGGCUCUGAGAGCAUGGGCUGGGCUGCAGGGCUGGCCUGACCCGCUGCCCCCGCCCAGGCCUCGGUGGAACCUCUAGAGCCCACUGUCCCAUCCACGCCCAACCCUGCAGCGGGUCACCUUCUUGGUGAAAUCCUCCCUCUGUCUCCGUGACAGUGCAGGGACACUGCUCCCACGGGGCAGGUGGGCGUCUGGAAGGGCACUUGCCCUGCUUCCCCGCUCUCCUGUCUUCCUGGGAUCUCUGCCACGAUGCCCCGGGUCCAGAGCAGGCUUUUCUGCAUCAGGAAGCCUCC